rnacentral:rRNA from 2 species
GCGCGAAAACUUUACAAUGCGGGAAACCGUGAUAAGGGAACUCCGAGUGUCCGUAAAUGCGGACUGUCCGUAUGUCUAAAAAGCAUGCGAAGAAAGGGCCGGGCAAGACCGGUGCCAGCCGCCGCGGUAAUACCGGCGGCUCGAGUGGUGGCCACUAUUACUGGGCUUAAAGCGUUCGUAGCUGGGUUGUUAAGUCUUUUGGGAAAUCUACCGGCUUAACCGAUAGGCGUCCAAGGGAUACUGGCAAUCUAGGGACCGGGAGAGGUGAGGGGUACUUCAGGGGUAGGAGUGAAAUCCUGUAAUCCUUGGGGGACCACCUGUGGCGAAGGCGCCUCACCAGAACGGCUCCGACAGUGAGGGACGAAAGCUGGGGGAGCAAACCGG